rnacentral:tRNA from 1 species
GCUGGGGAUGCAGCUCAAGCGGUAGCGCGCUCGCCUGGCAUGCGUGCGGCCCGGGUUCGAUCCUCAGCACCACAGCA